rnacentral:tRNA from 1 species
CCUUCGAUAGCUCAGUUGGUAGAGCGGAGGACUGUAGUUGAAAUUACCAGGCAUCCUUAGGUCGCUGGUUCAAUUCUGGCUCGAAGGA